rnacentral:rRNA from 1 species
GACGAACGCUGGCGGCGUGCCUAAUACAUGCAAGUAGAACGCAGUUGCGAACGGGUGAGUAACGCGUAGGUAACUGCCUCAUAGCGGGGGAUAACUAUUGGAAACGAUAGCUAAUACCGCAUACUGUGAGAUGGACCUGCGUUGUAUUAGCUAGUUGGUGAGGUAAAGGCUCACCAAGGCGACGAUACAUAGCCGACCUGAGAGGUGUAUCGGCCAACAUUGGGCUGAUACACGGCCCCGACUCCCACGGGAGGCAAGAGGAGGGAAUCGUCGGCAAUGGAAGGAAGGUUGACCGAGCCAACGCGCGUUGGGGAAUAAGGUUUUCGGAUCGUAAAGCUCUGGUGUUAGGAGAGCGGUAACUAACCAGAAAAGGACGGGUAACUACGUGCCAGCAGCCGCGGUAAUUC